rnacentral:rRNA from 1 species
GCAUAUCAAUAAGCGGAGGAAAAGAAAAUAACAAUGAUUCCCUUAGUAACGGCGAGUGAAGGGGGAAAAGCUCAAAUUUUAAAUCUGCUAGGUUUUACUUAUCAGAAUUGUAAUUUGAAGAAGCGUUUUCCGCGUCUCGGUUGGCCCAAAUCCUUUGGGAUAAGGUAUCAUGGAGGGUGAGAAUCCCGUUCGGUUGACCUUAUGAUGCUCUACGAUACGCUCUCUAAGAGUCGAGUUGUUUGGGAUUGCAGCUCAAAAUGGGAGGUAAAUUUCUCCUAAGGCUAAAUAUCGGCGAGAGACCGAUAGCGAACAAGUACCGUGAGGGAAAGAUGAAAAGAACUUUGAAAAGAGAGUAAAAUAGUACGUGAAAUUGUUGAAAGGGAAACGAUUGAAGUCAGUCGUACCGACGAGAAAUCAACUUAUCGUGUGCGAACU